rnacentral:rRNA from 1 species
AACGAACGCUGGCGGCAGGCCUAACACAUGCAAGUCGAGCGAACCUUCGGGUUAGCGGCGGACGGGUUAGUAACGCGUGGGAAUAUGCCCAAAGGUACGGAACAACAGUUGGAAACGGCUGCUAAUACCGUAUGUGCCCUACGGGGGAAAGAUUUAUCGCCUUUGGAUUAGCCCGCGUUAGAUUAGGUAGUUGGUGGGGUAAUGGCCUACCA